rnacentral:SRP_RNA from 14 species
CAGGGUGGCUACACAGCAGAGGCAAGUUCCCACCACGGUGGCGGGUCCGACUGCACCCCGCAAG